rnacentral:rRNA from 1 species
AUACCCUAUUAUAUUUAAUUUCCCAGGUAGUAUUUAUUUAUUAAAAAACCUAUGUAGUUUGGCGGCAUUUAUUCAUCUUAGAGGAACCUGUCUUUUAAUCGAUACCCCACGAUAAUUUUCACUUUAGUUUACAUUUUAUAUACCUCCAUCUAGUAAAAGGGCUAAUAAUUACACCCCCCCCUAAAAGAUUUCUAAAAAGUUAGGUAAAGGUGUAGACUAUACUAAAGAUGAGAUGGGUUACAAUAAACUCUAUUUAAGGAUAGUGGACCAAAACACAUUUUGAAAAAGGAUUUAUUAGUAAUUUAAAAAUAUUAAUUUUAUAUGAACCGAGAAAAGAUGUGC